rfam:Dictyocaulus viviparus strain HannoverDv2000 D_viviparus-1.0_Cont168.17, whole genome shotgun sequence.
GCUUACGGACAUACCACGUUGAAAACACGCCAUUCCGUCCGAUCUGGCAAGUUAAGCAACGUUGGACCUGGUUAGUACUUGGAUCGGAGACGGCUUGGGAACCCCAGGUGUCGUGAGCU